GUUGGGUUAAGUCCCGUAACGAGCGCAACCCUUGUCCUUAGUUACCAGCACGUUAUGGUGGGCACUCUAAGGAGACUGCCGGUGACAAACCGGGAGGAAGGUGGGGAUGACGUCAAGUCAUCAUGGCCCUUACGGCCUGGGCUACACACGUGCUACAAUGGUCGGUACAAAGGGUUGCCAAGCCGCGAGGUGGAGCUAAUCCCAUAAAACCGAUCGUAGUCCGGAUCGCAGUCUGCAACUCGACUGCGUGAAGUCGGAAUCGCUAGUAAUCGUGAAUCAGAAUGUCACGGUGAAUACGUUCCCGGGCCUU
rnacentral:rRNA from 1 species